AUUGAACGCUGGCGGCAUGCCUUACACAUGCAAGUCGAACGGUAACAGAUUAAGCUGAUGCUUGGCCGACGGGCGAGUAAUGUAUCGGUACGUGCCACGUCGUGGGCUAUAUUUUCGUGGAAGAUCAGCUAAUACCGCAUACGCUCUUAGCGCGAAAGCCCUGCAUGGCAAGACCUCGCGUCUUUGGACCUUCCGAUAUCGAAUUAGCCGAUUUGUGAUUAGCUAGUUGGCGGGGUAAAGGCCCACUAAGUCGACUGUCCGUAGCUGGUCUGAGAGGAGGAUCAGCCACACUGGAACUGAGACACGGCCCAGACUCCUACGGGAGGCAGCAGUGGGGAAUAUUGGACAAUGGGCGCAAGCCUGAUCCAGCCAUACCGCGUGGGGGAAGAAGGCCUUCGGGUUGUAAAGCGCUUUUGUUAGGGAAGAAAAGGAGCAGGCUAAUACCUGGGAGUCAUGACGGUACCUAAAGAAUAAGCACCGGCUAACUACGUG
rnacentral:rRNA from 1 species